CAGAGUGUAGCUUAACCCCAAAGUAUUUCGCUUACACCGAAAUUAUAUUUGUGAAAUUCAAAUCUCUCUGA
rnacentral:tRNA from 1 species